GAUGAACGCUGGCGGCGUGCCUAACACAUGCAAGUCGAGCGAUCUUCUUCGGAAGAGAGCGGCGGACGGGUGAGUCACGCGUGGGUAAACUGCCCUGUACACACGGAUAACAUACCGAAAGGUAUGCUAAUACGGGAUAAUAUGCUUUUAUCGCAUGGUAGAAGUAUCAAAGCUCCGGCGGUACAGGAUGGACCCGCGUCUGAUUAGCUAGUUGGUAAGGUAACGGCUUACCAAGGCGACGAUCAGUAGCCGACCUGAGAGGGUGAUCGGCCAGAUUGGAACCGGGACCCGGUCCAAUCUCCGGCGUGAGGCAGCAGUGGGGAAUAUUGCACAAUGGGCGAAAGCCUGAUGCAGCGACGCCGCGUGAGCGAUGAAGGCCUUCUGGUCGUAAAGCUCUGUCCUCAAGGAAGAUAAUGACGGUACUUGAGGAGGAAGCCCCGGCUAACUACGUGCCAGCCGCCGCUGUAAAAC
rnacentral:rRNA from 1 species